GUCAACGACCCACCACUAAUCGGAGUACCGAUAUAGUGGGGGCUUGCAGAAAGCCAUAGUUGACCAGACUAAGUACCUUGGGUACUCCGUUAGAAGCAAGCGUUCAACUUCCUACCCGGAAAUGCGUCGCUAGUUUCCGGCUCUAGA
rnacentral:sRNA from 20 species